rnacentral:lncRNA from 1 species
GACUCAUGAAUUCACCCACAGCAGGCAAUGGUUCCCAUAAAGGGUUGGAGCACAUCUCCUCAUUUGCUUCGCAGAGGCGACGCAAGAAGCUCCGGGCCCCAAGUUGUCAAUUGAUCUCUCACCAUAUCAAGUUUCUUCUGCAAAAUGGCACACUCGUCGCGACUUUCGACGUAUUGUGCUUGAAGCACCUCGUGGUCUUUCUUGGCUUGAAGGAGCUUGGUAUUCAGAAUCUGUACUUCAUUGGAGCUUGUCAUCACCUUAAAAUCUUCUUUCGGAGGAGUGCUAGUAUGCUCAAAAUUUUCCAUUUCGUUUUUUUAUCAAAAGCAAUGCCAACCUCCAAGCUUACCUAUCG